GAUGAACGCUGGCGGCGUGCCUAAUACAUGCAAGUCGAGCGAAUGGAUUAAGAGCUCGCUCUUAUGAAGUUAGCGGCGGACGGGUGAGUAACACGUGGGUAACCUGCCCAUAAGACUGGGAUAACUCCGGGAAACCGGGGCUAAUACCGGAUAACAUUUUGAACCGCAUGGUUCGAAAUUGAAAGGCGGCUUCGGCUGUCACUUAUGGAUGGACCCGCGUCGCAUUAGCUAGUUGGUGAGGUAACGGCUCACCAAGGCAACGAUGCGUAGCCGACCUGAGAGGGUGAUCGGCCACACUGAGACUGAAACACGGCCCGGACUCCUACGGGAGGCAGCAGUAGGGAAUCUUCCGCAAUGGACGAAAGUCUGACGGAGCAACGCCGCGUGAGUGAUGAAGGCUUUCGGGUCGUAAAACUCUGUUGUUAGGGAAGAACAAGUGCUAGUUGAAUAAGCUGGCACCUUGACGGUACCUAACCAGAAAGCCACGGCUAACUACGUGCCAGCCGCCGCAGUAA
rnacentral:rRNA from 1 species